UACGACUCUCGGCAACGGAUAUCUAGGCUCUCGCAUCGAUGAAGAACGUAUCGAAAUGCGAUACUUGGUGUGAAUUGCACAAUCCCGUGAACCAUCGAGUUUUUGAACGCGAGUUGCGCCCGAAGCCAUUACGCUGAGGGCACGUCUGCCUGGGCGU
rnacentral:rRNA from 1 species